rnacentral:rRNA from 1 species
AUUGAACGCUGGCGGCAGGCCUAACACAUGCAAGUCGAGCGGUAGAGAGAAGCUUGCUUCUCUUGAGAGCGGCGGACGGGUGAGUAAUGCCUAGGAAUCUGCCUGGUAGUGGGGGAUAACGUUCGGAAACGGACGCUAAUACCGCAUACGUCCUACGGGAGAAAGCAGGGGACCUUCGGGCCUUGCGCUAUCAGAUGAGCCUAGGUCGGAUUAGCUAGUUGGUGGGGUAAUGGCUCACCAAGGCGACGAUCCGUAACUGGUCUGAGAGGAUGAUCAGUCACACUGGAACUGAGACACGAUCCAGACUCCUACGGGAGGCAGCAGUGGGGAAUAUUGGACAAUGGGCGAAAGCCUGAUCCAGCCAUGCCGCGUGUGUGAAGAAGGUCUUCGGAUUGUAAAGCACUUUAAGUUGGGAGGAAGGGCAGUAAAUUAAUACUUUGCUGUUUUGACGUUACCGACAGAAUAAGCACCGGCUAACUCUGUG